CACUCCUGCGGGAGGCAGCAGUGGGGAAUAUUGGACAAUGGGCGCAAGCCUGAUCCAGCCAUGCCGCGUGAGUGAUGAAGGCCCUAGGGUUGUAAAGCCCUUUCACCGGUGAAGAUAAUGACGGUAACCGGAGAAGAAGCCCCGGCUAACUUCGUGCCAGCAGCCGCGGUAAUACGAAGGGGGCUAGCGUUGUUCGGAUUUACUGGGCGUAAAGCGCACGUAGGCGGACUAUUAAGUCAGGGGUGAAAUCCCGGGGCUCAACCCCGGAACUGCCUUUGAUACUGGUAGUCUUGAGUUCGAGAGAGGUGAGUGGAAUUCCGAGUGUAGAGGUGAAAUUCGCAGAUAUUCGGAGGAACACCAGUGGCGAAGGCGGCUCACUGGCUCGAUACUGACGCUGAGGUGCGAAAGCGUGGGGAGCAAACAGGAUUAGAAACCCUAGUAGUCCCA
rnacentral:rRNA from 1 species